rnacentral:rRNA from 1 species
CAGGCUUAACACAUGCAAGUCGAGGGGCAUCAGGAAGAAAGCUUGCUUUCUUUGCUGGCGACCGGCGCACGGGUGAGUAACACGUAUCCAACCUGCCCUUACUCGGGGAUAGCCUUUCGAAAGAAAGAUUAAUACCCGAUAGCAUAAUGAUUCCGCAUGGUUUCAUUAUUAAAGGAUUCCGGUAAAGGAUGGGGAUGCGUUCCAUUAGGUUGUUGGUGAGGUAACGGCUCACCAAGCCUUCGAUGGAUAGGGGUUCUGAGAGGAAGGUCCCCCACAUUGGAACUGAGACACGGUCCAAACUCCUACGGGAGGCAGCAGUGAGGAAUAUUGGUCAAUGGGCGCUAGCCUGAACCAGCCAAGUAGCGUGAAGGAUGAAGGCUCUAUGGGUCGUAAACUUCUUUUAUAUAAGAAUAAAGUGCAGUAUGUAUACUGUUUUGUAUGUAUUAUAUGAAUAAGGAUCGGCUAACUCCGUGCCAGCAGCCGCGGUAAUACGGAGGAUCCGAGCGUUAUCCGGAUUUAUUGGGUUUAAAGGGAGCGUAGGUGGACUGGUAAGUCAGUUGUGAAAGUUUGCGGCUCAACCGUAAAAUUGCAGUUGAUACUGUCAGUCUUGAGUACAGUAGAGGUGGGCGGAAUUCGUGGUGUAGCGGUGAAAUGCUUAGAUAUCACGAAGAACUCCGAUUGCGAAGGCAGCUCACUGGACUGCAACUGACACUGAUGCUCGAAAGUGUGGGUAUCAAACAGGAUUAGAUACCCUGGUAGUCCACACAGUAAACGAUGAAUACUCGCUGUUUGCGAUAUACAGUAAGCGGCCAAGCGAAAGCAUUAAGUAUUCCACCUGGGGAGUACGCCGGCAACGGUGAAACUCAAAGGAAUUGACGGGGGCCCGCACAAGCGGAGGAACAUGUGGUUUAAUUCGAUGAUACGCGAGGAACCUUACCCGGGCUUAAAUUGCAGUGGAAUGAUGUGGAAACAUGUCAGUGAGCAAUCACCGCUGUGAAGGUGCUGCAUGGUUGUCGUCAGCUCGUGCCGUGAGGUGUCGGCUUAAGUGCCAUAACGAGCGCAACCCUUAUCUUUAGUUACUAACAGGUUAUGCUGAGGACUCUGGAGAGACUGCCGUCGUAAGAUGUGAGGAAGGUGGGGAUGACGUCAAAUCAGCACGGCCCUUACGUCCGGGGCUACACACGUGUUACAAUGGGGGGUACAGAAGGCAGCUAGCGGGUGACCGUAUGCUAAUCCCAAAAGCCUCUCUCAGUUCGGAUCGAAGUCUGCAACCCGACUUCGUGAAGCUGGAUUCGCUAGUAAUCGCGCAUCAGCCACGGCGCGGUGAAUACGUUCCCGGGCCUUGUACACACCGCCCGUCAAGCCAUGGGAGCCGGGGGUACCUGAAGUACGUAACCGAAAGGAUCGUCCUAGGGUAAAACUGGUGA